UACGAAGGGGGCUAGCGUUGCUCGGAAUCACUGGGCGUAAAGGGUGCGUAGGCGGGUCUUUAAGUCAGGGGUGAAAGCCUGUGGCUCAACCACAGAAUUGCCUUCGAUACUGCGAGGCUUGAGACCGGAAGAGGUUAGUGGAACUGCGAGUGUAGAGGUGAAAUUCGUAGAUAUUCGCAAGAACACCAGUGGCGAAGGCGGCUGACUGGUCCGGUUCUGACGCUGAGGCGCGAAAGCGUGGGGAGCAAACAGG
rnacentral:rRNA from 1 species